CCUAGGUAGGGUGGAUUAGUGGCGAACGGGUGAGUAACACGUGAGUAACCUGCCCCCGACUCUGGGAUAAGCCCGGGAAACUGGGUCUAAUACCGGAUAUGACCUCGCACCGCAGGUGCGGGGUGGAAAGAUUUAUCGGUGGGGGAUGGACUCGCGGCCUAUCAGCUUGUUGGUGAGGUAAUGGCUCACCAAGGCGACGACGGGUAGCCGGCCUGAGAGGGUGACCGGCCACACUGGGACUGAGACACGGCCCAGACUCCUACGGGAGGCAGCAGUGGGGAAUAUUGCACAAUGGGCGAAAGCCUGAUGCAGCGACGCCGCGUGAGGGAUGACGGCCUUCGGGUUGUAAACCUCUUUCAGUAGGGAAGAAGCGAAAGUGACGGUACCUGCAGAAGAAGCGCCGGCUAACUACGUGCCAGCAGCCGCGGUAAUACGUAGGGCGCGAGCGUUAUCUGGAUUUAUUGGGCGUAAAGAGCUCGUAGGCGGUUUGUCGCGUCUGCUGUGAAAGUCCGAGGCUCAACCUCGGAUCUGCGGUGGGUACGGGCAGACUAGAGUGAUGUAGGGGAGACUGGAAUUCCUGGUGUAGCGGUGAAAUGCGCAGAUAUCAGGAGGAACACCGAUGGCGAAGGCAGGUCUCUGGGCAUUUACUGACGCUGAGGAGCGAAAGCAUGGGGAGCGAACAGGAUUAGAUACCCUGGUAGUCCAUGCCGUAAACGUUGGGCACUAGGUGUGGGGGACAUUCCACGUUUUCCGCGCCGUAGCUAACGCAUUAAGUGCCCCGCCUGGGGAGUACGGCCGCAAGGCUAAAACUCAAAGGAAUUGACGGGGGCCCGCACAAGCGGCGGAGCAUGCGGAUUAAUUCGAUGCAACGCGAAGAGCCUUACCAAGGCUUGACAUGUGCCAGACCGCCUCAGAGAUGGGGUUUCCCUUCGGGGCUGGUUCACAGGUGGUGCAUGGUUGUCGUCAGCUCGUGUCGUGAGAUGUUGGGUUAAGUCCCGCAACGAGCGCAACCCUCGUUCCAUGUUGCCAGCACGUAGUGGUGGGGACUCAUGGGAGACUGCCGGGGUCAACUCGGAGGAAGGUGGGGAUGACGUCAAAUCAUCAUGCCCCUUAUGUCUUGGGCUUCACGCAUGCUACAAUGGCCGGUACAAUGGGUUGCGAUACUGUGAGGUGGAGCUAAUCCCUAAAAGCCGGUCUCAGUUCGGAUUGGGGUCUGCAACUCGACCCCAUGAAGUCGGAGUCGCUAGUAAUCGCAGAUCAGCAACGCUGCGGUGAAUACGUUCCCGGGCCUUGUACACACCGCCCGUCAAGUCACGAAAGUUGGUAACACCCUAAGC
rnacentral:rRNA from 1 species